AGAAUGUAUUCAACUAAAGGAACAAAACAGUGUGGAGCCACUGUGGAGUCUUAGCCUCAGAGGUCACGGGCUCUACAUUUCUCCCUCCAAUGUCCUAGACACUUCACAGAUACCAAAACUUCACGUGCAAUGAACGGACGUCUGUGGUGGAGAUCUGGGCCCUGGUGUCCAAAAUAGUUUGGGUAUGAGAGAAGGUGCAUUCGUGACCCAGCUUAUUCAAUGAAACAACGAGACAUGUGAAUAGUGAGCCUCUGUUCACUCCUCAUGGUAUUCUCCUCUUUCACCUUCACGUGCUGUGCCCAGGAGAGACAAUUACUCAUAAUUUAGUGUUCAUUAUUUCCAUUCAUUCCUGUGUACUUAACUUUGUGUGUGUAUAUAUUUCCAUUCCUAUAUAUAUAUUCCAUCCCUAAAUAUAUAUAUAUUUCCAUUACCA